UCAGGGAGGUGACCAAUUACCCAAUGGCCACUUUAACAGAGUUUCAGAAGUCUUCCUUGGAGAUGGGAGAACCUGAUGGAAAGGAAAACCAUCUUAGAAAGGCAUGCGUGAAGAUAUUCUCAGGGCUGAUGUGGAAAAACUCUUUGGGCCAAACUCCAAGUACUACCAGGUGCUACUCAUCAACAUGACUGCAUGCAAAAGGGGUGUGUCUAAGUAGCAGGGACAGGAAGUCUGUUCAGAGCUGAGGUAAAGAUAAAUGCAGGCAAAUGCAGAGUGGUCCAUGAAGAAAACCUGCCUCAGGGUGAACACAACCUCAGACCAGGGUGAAGGUUCAUUUUUCAGCAAGUCUCUGAAUGUCCUUGAGCCAAAACCCAGCUUUGAACCCUGCAGAACAUGUGUAGAGAGAGCUGAGGAUGUCUGUUAACAGUUAUUUGAUUGAGCUUAAGAGGAUCUGCCAGGAGGAAUGGGAAAAAUCACCCAGGUCCAUGUGUGUCCAACUUUUUUUUUCUUUACGAUGUCAUUAUGGGAUAUUUUAUGUUGAUUAAUGGACAAAAAAGUAAAUGUAAUCAGUUUUAGAUUAUUUUUUUCUUUAGUCGUUUCAUCGGUCUUGUAGUCACGUGAAGUCGUCUCUUAAACCACAGUCUUAACUCAGACACAUGCAGCAACUGUCCAUUUUUAUCGUUUGAAUAGUUUCCAACCACAGACCUGACACUUGGUACAUUUGCACGCAUGAUGCUUCAUUUAAACUGUGAAAACUGACACCAGUCUCAUCUGUGGUUCAUCUGCUUCUGACCGCUGGCUGCUUUCAGACACAAAUUUUUCCACUAUUCAAUUUGCACAAAAAUAAGAAGCUUGAAAGAUUCUGUUCGUUAUUAUUUUGUUUAAAUGAUGUUUGAAGGGCGAUUGCUGUCCAGCAUUUAUAGAGCAGUUCACACUCCUGAUAAUCAUAUAUCAAACAGAUAUAUCACACUCAUUCUCCAGAUCAGGCAUGUUAAAAUGGAUAAAAUACUUACAUUAGGUUGUAUAAUGAAAUAAAAAGAGGUCACUGUAAGGAACUACAAUAAACAUUUAGCACAAGGCUUUUCCCCUAUAAUACACUCGAGUGAGAGCACAGCACUGCAAACCAAAUGAAUAUUCUGAAUAAAAGUCCUUCAUAAAACCAGAAAUGAAAAGCUGUGUUGGUGAUUGAAAAAGUAAACACUUCAUCCUGGAUCAAACCCCGGACCCAGGAGCUGUGAGGUGACAACGCUUCCUGCUGUACCAUCAUGCUCUGAAAUAAUUCCUAUUAUAAAUAUCAAAUAAUAACUGGAAUAUAGAAUACUUGUCCCCACAGGGUACUUACACAUUCUACAUAUAAAAAUAAACUAGUGUACAUUCUUAAAACAUAUGAAUACAUUAUAAUGUAUCACAAGUAAACUGUACAUCUCUGAAUUAUACAUUAGUGUGUUUAUAGUAAAAUUAGUGGAUUUGAAGGAACAUCAUUGAGUCAGCUGACCUUCUACUGAAAUGUUAGGUGAGAUAACGAGAUCUAUUUUAGAUUAUUAUUUUGUUUUUUUUUUUCUUGUGCUUUAGGCUGCAUAAACAUCCACACCCCUACACACAGAUAAAGCCGCAUUCGAUUGGACCAACAGAUCAUUUCCUCUUUGUCUCUCGGCUGAUACACAAUGGUUCAGUUUAAAACUCUGCCUGUGUUUCUCUGUGCCAUGGGUUUUAUCUCAGAGACUCUGUCCUCUUUAUCUUUGGAGGCAGAAGCUGGAGAUAACGUCACUAUUUGGUGCCAACAUGAUCUGACUAAAACAGGUUUCAUCUUCUGGUUUAAACACACGUGUGGUUCAAUUCCACUUCGUCUUGUGUGUAAAAAGUUUAGAACAUCAUCUCCAUCAGAAAACUGUUACUUCUUUAAUGGAAGUGAGAGAAUAGUGAUGUCUGUUCAUGGCAAGAGCACGUCUCUCACAAUCACUGCAGUAACCGUCUCUGAUACAGGACUGUAUUACUGCAGCUUCAGUGAUCAAAUGAUCUUUAGCAACUCGACCUCUUUACAAGUGAAAGGUGUAAAUAAAACAUUUUCUGAGGAUAAAGCUACAGGUAAAGACUCUUCUGCUGUGUUCUUCAUACUGACUGCAGUGUUUGGUGCCGUGAUCGUGAUUCUUCUCGGUGUCCUGAUCUUCAUCAUACUGAAGCACAGAAAAACUCUUAGAGGUGCUGAAGCAGAAGAUAUUGAGGUUGCUGACUCGGACUCGGAGCAUUACACUGCACUACAGUCCUCUACCAAGAACACCAAGAGAACCAGGAGACAUGAUGAAAAGGUGUAUACACAUGUUGUAUAUUCUUCAAUCACACUGAGUAAUUUGUGUAAAUAAAUCAUUAAUUGUUUGGUUAAUAUGAAACAGAUAUUAAUAUAACAUAACAUAAUAUCAUAUCAUAUAAUAGUUUCAGGAUUCUGCACAUUUAAUGUUAUACUAUAAUCCUUGUAUCAGGUCUCAGUUUGUUAUCCAGUGUAAUAAAAUAUUCAAGUGUAAAUAGAUACGUAUUUAUUUUUUGCUUGUUUCUAUGAAAAUAGCAGAUUUAUAGAGGUUCUGACAAUAAAAACUGUUUGGGCUGUAAUUUGGUGUGCAUCAUCAGUCCUCUAAUGACGUGAGUGAGAUUGGGAAACUAUCGUGGCUUCUGUUCUGAAUCUUUUGGCCUCUGGGAGUCGCUGUUUCCCCGUUAUUUUUAUAGGUGCAUAAGAAUAUACUGGAGUGUGAUAUAAACAGGUUUAGAAUACAUUUAACGGCGUUAUGUAAUCAGGAUACAAAAACUGGUAAUUAUAAUC